rnacentral:rRNA from 1 species
CCUACGGGAGGCAGCAGUGAGGAAUAUUGGUCAAUGGGCGCGAGCCUGAACCAGCCAAGUAGCGUGAAGGAUGACUGCCCUACGGGUUGUAAACUUCUUUUAUAAAGGAAUAAAGUGAGGCACGUGUGCCUUUUUGUAUGUAUUUUAUGAAUAAGGAUCGGCUAACUCCGUGCCAGCAGCCGCGGUAAUACGGAGGAUCCGAGCGUUAUCCGGAUUUCUUGGGUUUAAAGGGAGCGUAGAUGGGUUGUUAAGUCAGUUGUGAAAGUUUGCGGCUCAACCCUAAAAUUGCAAUUGAUACUGGCAGCCUUGAGUACAGUUGAGGUAGGCGGAAUUCGUGGUGUAGCGGUGAAAUGCUUAGAUAUCACGAAGAACUCCGAUUGCGAAGGCAGCCUACUAAACUGCGACUGACGCUGAAGCACGAGAGCGUGGGUAGCGAACAGGAUUAGAUACCCGAGUAGUC